rnacentral:rRNA from 1 species
AGCGAACGCUGGCGGCAGGCUUAACACAUGCAAGUCGAGCGGGCAUCCUUGUGGUGUCAGCGGCAGACGGGUGAGUAACGCGUGGGAACGUGCCCUUCGGUUCGGAAUAACUCAGGGAAACUUGAGCUAAUACCGGAUACGUGCGAGAGCAGAAAGGUUUAUCUGCCGAAGGAUCGGCCCGCGUCUGAUUAGCUCGUUGGUGAGGUUACGGCUCACCAAGGCGACGAUCAGUAGCUGGUCUGAGAGGAUGACCAGCCACACUGGGACUGGGACACGGCCCAGACUCCUACGGGAGGCAGCAGUGGGGAAUAUUGGACAAUGGGGGCAACCCUGAUCCAGCCAUGCCGCGUGAGUGAUGACGGCCUUAGGGUUGUAAAGCUCUUUUCUCCGGGACGAUAAUGACGGUACCGGAGGAAUAAGCCCCGGCUAACUUCGUG